AUGAAUCUUUUGGCCUGGAACUGUCAAGGACUGGGGUUGGACUCGACAGUAGGCGAACUCCGCGACCUGAUUAGGUCCCACAACCCAGUGGUGGUUUUUCUGAGUGAAAUUAAAAAGAAGGCGAGAGAAAUGGAAAAGCUUAAGUGGAGUUUGGAGUUUAGAUGUGGGGUGGCGGUGGACCGUCAAGGGAAAAGUGGUGGAUUAGCAUUGUGGUCGAGAGAUCAUUUGCAAGUAAAUGUGAGACCAUGGUGUCAAUAUUUUUUGGAUGCAGAUAUUGUGUGGAAGGGCAAGACCUAUAGCAUCACUGGAUUCUAUGGUGAGCCUGAUACUGACCAAAGGAAAAAGUCUUGGGACGCAAUCAGGUAUCUAAAACGACAGAGUGAGUUACCAUGGCUAUGUGUUGGAGACUUCAACGAAGCUUUGUUUCAGUCUGAACAAGUGGAGUAA
rnacentral:rRNA from 1 species